GUUGAUUGCACCAGAAGUGGUUAGCCGAACCUUUUAGGACGGCGAUCACCACGGUGUGGUUGAUGACUGGGGUGAAGUCGUAACAAGGUAGCCGUAGGUGAACCUGCAGAAGGAUCA
rnacentral:rRNA from 1 species